CUUUUUUUAUAGCUCUCAUCGUCUUACCUAUGUUUCAUCAAUGAUGCAUACAUACAUAAUGUGUGACAACAAUCAUUAUGAAAUGGUGGUCAGCAGCUAAUUCAUAUACAAGCAGGACAAAUUAAUGUAACAAAUUAUUUGAAGAAGGCAAAUCAUUUGUUUUUUUGAACUUGAUUAUGUUUGAAGAACAUAAAUCAUUUAUUUAUUUUUAACCUGACCUAUCUAAGAUGGUCUAUUCGGAUUGGUUUGCCUCAAAAUGGCCAUAAGUGUCUAAAGUUUACUUUCUAUACUGCUGAUUGUAUGAAUUUGUGGUUAUCUAUGACAGGGCGAGUACACCCAGGACCUUGAGAGCUCAUUGAGUACUCCAUAAUUCAGAGAUUGUGCUGCCAUGCUCUUUGGGUCACGAUGGCUGCUGCUAGUAUUGAAGUGGCUGUGGCAUCGGAUGCUUUGUUGGUGGGAAGGUUUUGGGUUGUUCAUGGGUAUGAGAUUAUCUAAUAGGAGGUGGAUCAAGUCAGUUAUUCUGUUAUCCAACUCUGCUAUGUUAGUUUCUUUUAUGCAAAAUAAAGAUUAAAUGUAGACCAUAUUUGCCAGUGUGUAAUAAUGUUCGUCACGGUGGAUAUUGGGGGCUCUAGCAUGCCAUAUGACCUGUUUUUGUGCCUUUUAUUGUCUGAGAUGAUUUGAAAUUCAAUUUCUGCGGAUAAUUAUUUGUGAGAAUGUUAAUUUUGAAGUCUUUUUACUUGUGUCA